rnacentral:snRNA from 1 species
GGAUAUGAGGGUGAUCUCGCUGCGACAUCUGUCACCCCAUUGAUCGCCAGGGUUGAUUCGGCUGAUCUGGCUGGCUAGGCAGGUGGCCCCUUCCUCCCUCACCGCUCCACGUGUGUCCCUCCCGAAGCUGGUGCUCGGGCUCCGUAGAAGAGGACGGCCUUCCCCGAAUAGAGACGGACCGGUCUUCGGUCGAGGGUAUACGAGUAGCUGCGCUCCCCUGCUAGAACCUCCAAACAAGCUCUCAAUUUCUCUCUACCCUAUCAAAUGUAAAGAAAAGAAAAAAAAAAAAGAAAGAAAGAAAAAACAGCUGCCAGGUGGAUUU